rnacentral:rRNA from 1 species
CUCUAUGCUACACUGAACAAGCCUGAUCCCAUCUGAUCUCGGAAGCUAAGCAGGGGCGGGCCUGGUUAGUACUUAGAUGAGAGACCACCUAGGAAGACCAGGUGCUGUAGGCA